rnacentral:lncRNA from 1 species
UCCUUGGACUUAACUUGCUUCAUUGCCCCAAAAGAGAUGAGCUUUUGGGCAGAGCAGAGAAAAAUCUUUUCUGUUUCAGGUUCUUCUGGGAAGAACAAAAAGCAAACAUUAUCCAGCAUAAAAGGACCUGAGAACCAAAACCAUACUCACAUGAGCUUUCACUCCCGCUACAAAGCAUCUUGGCUAUGCUCAGCUAAGGCAGCCACAGCUGGAAGACUGGGGAACUUCAAAACUCCUGCUUUAAUCAGAGCCCUUACAAGGAGAAUGAUGUUCAUUGUGAAGCAACAGGAUUUGCACCUAUUUUCACCAGGAGAGCAGAAGGUGUCAAAGUAAAACAGCUGCAUAUCUUCCAAGAAAAGCUCGUGUUUUCCAAAGGAAUUCAAGCGGAGGUGCUUUAUUAAGAGAAC